CCCCCCCCCCCCCCCCCCCCCCCCUGCUCGGGACGCCAUGCAGGAUGACUACAAAGACCUCCGCGUGUUGUGCUCCUACUCAGGACCCUCCCUGUGCUUCUCCUCGCCCGUCCGGGUCCAAGUUAGUCUCUUCGGCCCCGUUGCCUGCUCCUCCCUGUCAAAUCGCUUUAUAGCUUCACUGUGUGCAAUGUUCGGCCCAUAGGGUUAGCUGUUCAGGGGCCAUGGCGUGUUCCAUGCGGCGCUGCCUUCGCCGUUGCCAUUGCUGCCUGGUUGUGUAUCGGGCGUGGCAGCAGCCAAUGGGGCCGGGAAGGUCCGAGACACUGCAGGUCCCUGCUUGCCAACUUGCAGGAGCCUGUUAAUCGUUCAGUAAAAAAAGAAUACCCCGAGGGAGAAGGAUGUGCCGAAAGGGGAUGGGAGUAGCAAGUUUGAAUUAGAAGAGGUAUAUACCCAUCUGUCUGGAGUCUGCUCUUAAUACAUUCUUCCCUUCGCCAUGUUGUGAUGUUUAACUUUUUCCACUUAUCAGAUUUUAGUUCAAUUUGAAGCAAUGCGUAUUGGAAUAUAUGUUCCAGUCCUUCCAGCUGUUGCAUGAAUAAAUGACAAUGUAUUAGCAUCAUAAUCAAAGAAUGAGAAAAAUCUUCUUAUCAAAAGAUGUUGCGGUGGGACUAAUAACUAACCAUAACGGUCAGGUCAUUGCGGUUCUUUCCUGGGCCUAGUGAGUCGAGCACCUGGAUACAUUGCAACCUGGUAUUUAUAACUGCUAGGUACCAGGGAAAGUUUUCAAUGUUUACUGGAAUGAAUAUCUGAAAAUAGAGUUUUGUUAGUUUAGGUCUCAUGCAUACAAACAUUUGUCCUUGAUUGAAUUCAUACAAAUAUGCACGGAACUGUGACUCACCAUAUCAUGUUCCAAAUAAGUUAUAGCUCUGUUUAAUACCCAUCUUGGUGCAUCAUACCGUAUAGAGUUAAAUUCCUUUAUCAUCUUAGAGAUGCAUGCAUUCUCUAAGAACACACUUCCUCCUGACCUCAUCUGUAGAUGCUUUUUAGCACUUAUGCAAUGUAUGUAUGUGUCUAUGAUAUGCAAUAUCAAGUGCACACCUUGGUUAUAGGAGAUAAUAUAAACUCAUGUUAAAAUAGCAACAUGUUGUCAUAAAGGUAAAUAUACUUACUUCGUCGCCAACUGAGAAUACUUAUUACUCCAUGAUGACCACGUCCAGUCAAGACUGAAAUUGACACUUCUUUCUUCAAUUUAUGUGUUAGAUGGAUCGUUUCGAUUUAGUUAGUUCACGUGCGCUUGUCAAUUCAACCAGUUAUAUUUGAGACUGAGGUCGAACAAUCACAUAUGCACUUCAAAGAAAAAUAGCCAUCAUAAUAUUGCAAUAUUUCAUUAUUUCUGUCAAUGGUACCACUAGCUUACAUUUUGCUGGUAUAGCAAUCUUAUGUUCUGGAAUUGACAGAAUAAAUUGAAAUUUCUAUGUUCCCAAAUGAAUGGUGUAAGUAAUCUGAACAUGAACGGAAUAACAAGUGUGACACAUUUAAAGUCUGUACUUUUUCAUUUCUAUAACUGAUGUAGCAGUUGCGAUCGCUAUUAGGCCCAUCGAACGGACCUGUGCAAGCAACGCCUUGUACAUGUACGUCUUCCUAGUUCCUCCUGGACCGUCAACAAAGAAUAUCUGCCUUUUUUGGUUCGUCACAUGAUCCAUUAUGUCAUUGAAACCAGAUAGUUGCUCAUUGUUCAAACAGCUGAAUCGAUCUAGAUGUUCUUGGUCCACUUUGACCUGUCUCUCCUCUGUUACCUCUGUAUUGUCAAUGUUAGAAGAACCAUCUGCGUCAACCAGAUCUGGAAGUCCAUAGAGUUUAAUAUCAUUUCCCAUGGUUUGCAGCAGACCCCUGAUAUCCCUAAGGACCAUUUGCUCAAGUCCUUCCUCAUUCGAUUUAGUACGGCGAUAAUCUUCAGACAUGGAUGCUAGAUGUUUGUCCUACAAUUGAUGGAUUUGUGUUGCCUCACAGAAUACCAGUAUAUUCGCAAACAACCGUCUAAGAGUAGAAGGCAUUUGAAAUGUCGCUGCCUCUGUCAUGCAAUCAUCAAGUGUCCUGUCGUGCUUAAUGAGGCCUAAUUGCUCACACGCCUCUCUGAAGGACCCGCAUGGCUUGCCAUUUAUUGUUUUUAAAUCAUCAACUGAAGUGGUCGUACAUGGUUUAGGAGCACCCGCAAGUAGUACCUAUCUCCUUCAGCAUGGUGUGCAUGCACCAAUCUUCCAAUCUGUAAUCUCUAAUUUUUUUAUCGGUUGACCCUUCUUAUUACCGGCUAUCGACCUAUAAUGUUCUGGGAACUCUCUGUACAACAAUUUUCGUGCCUCUGGUUACUUUUGGUUCAUCCCAAAGUACUCGGUAAGCAUGGCUUUGGAAGAAGAUGGCCGAGCGACAACAUCUUCCACAUUUUCAUAAGCCUGAAAUGCGACUGUAUGCAUGUUUGGCAAAUGAAGCUGGAGCUGCAACACAGCUGGGCUGACACCAAACAUUUUAAAGCCAAAAAUCCUAUAGAUAGCUUCCAGAGGAGAUAUAUAGCGUGCAUUCCUAUAUUGUCGAAUUUCAUGAAUGAUUCCCCCAUCAUUGAUAAUAUCCUGCUCGAACACAAAUGAUGCCUUAUCAUGCCCUUUGUAGAUGUACUUGAAUAAGUACUUCACUGCCUAUGUUCGAGCAUGCUUCGACAUUUAUGUGACAGUUGUAUGUCAUCAGCAGAAAGGGGUUGUAAGGGACCACCCAUCUAUUGUCCAAAUCUGCUCCUCUGAUCCUAACUCUCACCCCAUCAUCCCUCCUAUAGAUGGGAUAUGAGUCUUUCCCUUGUAAUGUAGCAUCACAGAAAUCUCGCGGGUAAUGAAACCGACAUUGUCCAUCUAUCAUGCAAGGGCAACUUUUCUUGAGCGCGCCACAUGGACCAUGCAACAUGUGUUUGACCACCAGAUCAUGGAGAAUAGGAUAUUUAUUUUUGGCGGGUAUCUCUGCCGAUAUCACCCGAUCAUAGUCAUCCGGGGUCCUUAACUUACUUUUUGCUUUCAUGAUUAGAAGUAUAUGCUCAUGAGGGAGGCCUCGUUUCUGAAACUCAGUGACAUUUACAUAAGCCGCAACUUCUCCAAAAUGCUUACCCUUAAUCAGUAAGUCCAUCAUGGAUCAUUGUUUAGCUCUGUAUACUCUUGCCACAAGGUCUGGACGGUCUUGUGGCAGCUGUCCAGGCAACAAUUCAAUAGUUAUCUCCUCCCAGUAGGGAUUGCAUGUCAUCGUGAUAAAAUAAUCCAGUUUACCCCAUCGUUGAACUAUUGCCAUUGCAUCCAGGAACCUGCGCUGCAUGUCACGGUCACCACCAGGAAAGGUACGUGGAAGCACGAUUCUCUUGCCAAUACGAUCACCGUGUGACUCACCAGCGAUGACGGUGUCAACAAGGCCCUAUAAUAAAUCAAUAUUUGACGCCAAUUAGUAUAGCAUGUUGAAGCAACGAGUGGCAUUUGUAAUACAAUUUAAUAGUAUAAACACAAGCACGUUACCUGGUAGAGGUCAGCUCGUAUGACCUUUUGAUUUGCUGGCUUUGAGUACCAGUCAAGCCUCAUUGUCUCAAUCUUGAUGUACAUGUCAACCGCCCAUUGUUGGAACAGGCGCCCCCCAAACAAGAUGAUGUUAAAAAGCUUCUUCCAGACCUGCAGUUUUGAAGGCAUAGUACUCCCUCGCGCUAACAUAUUUCCUUGAUUUUGUGGCAUUCAUCUCAUUGUCACCAAAAUCCUCAUCCGGGUUAUCCUCGUAGUCAUCUAAAAAUUGUUUAACAACAUUAAAGUUGGUAUAUAGAAUCAUAAGAAUAUAAAAAUAGGAAUCGCGUCCAAUACCUGCAGCUAAAUCAGUGGAUUGGUCUUCAUGCCCUGCGCCAUGACCAAGUUCUUCUUUAAUCAUGUUACCGUCUGAAAGAUGGAUACCAAAUAAGGUUAACUUUGAUUAAUAUUUAUAAAUCAGUAAUGAACAUAAUUUUGGUCUACUACCUGCGGCUAAAUCAGUGGCCUGGUCUUCAUGUCGGCCGCCAUGAUCAAGUUGUUCUAUAACCAUGUUAUUGUCUGAAAGAUGAAUACUAAAUAAGGCUUACCAUGAUUAAUAUGUAUAAAUCAAUAAUGAACAUAAAUCAGGUAUAACAGAAUCAUAAGAAUAUAAAAAUAGCAAUCACGUCCAAUACCUGCAGCUAAAUCAGUGGCCUGGUCUUGAUGUCUUGCGUCAUGACCAAGUUGUUCUCUAAUCAUGUUAUCGUCUGCAAGAUGGAUUACUGAAUAAGUUUAACUUUGAUUAAAAUGUAUAAAUCAAUUAUGAACAUUAUACCUGAAGAAAGAACAUAGGUUAGGUACUCUUGUCGUGCAGAAUCAUUCACUGAAUCUUGGUUUGUGUCAUCGGCGGCCCCAAUAUAUGGCAUCAAACGAUUCCAACCGAUCUUCCCAUGUGGGAAGAAUAGUGGAUAUGACAAAGGGUCGUAGAAUCCAUAGUAUGCUCUAAUAUACAGGGGACACUCUCCUUUCCCGUACACGAUAAGACUUCUAUCAAAGGUUUUUUGUGGGUCGCUCCCUUCAACACAUAUUGCUGCUACCUGAGAAGUUGUUGGCGCAUUGUACCUUCGUUGAUCAACUUGAUAUCGGUAUUUAAUGAGAUCAUGUAUUCAUCUAGAUUCGGAACAGCGCCGAGGCUUUUAAAUACUUGAGCAUAAGGGUUAUGCUCUAGUAUUGGCAGAAUCUUCGGUAUGACAUCUAACCUAAUAUUUGGAGACCUCUUAACCUUGUGAAACAAGUUUUCAUCUGUAUCACAAAUAUAUAGCUGCAAAUGUCGAGGGUCAUUAUCACCAGACUCCAGAUCAUCAAGAGCGUGGUACAACCCCCCACACGCGCGAAAUGUAUAUACGCCAGUUUCUGCUGCGGUGCUGACUCGACGAUCAAGGGUGACUCCCAGAUUUGUGAAUGAGAAGUGGGAGUUGAAAUAUCGUAUAUUUUCUCUGUAAUAUUUAGCAUCCUCAUCAUCUUGACUUGUAAACAACCAUUUUAACUCCUCACAAACAUCUAGAGUAAAUACAUCCACUUUCCCCUUUCUGCAGCAAACACAUGCCUAUCAUAUUGAAAUCGCAAUGCUCCACAAUGGCGACAAUCACUAACUUUUCUAAGCACACGAUGCUUUUUGGGCAGGUUCAUGUAAACUCUGUCAUGGGCAUCAUUAUUGGGAGCUCCAUCACCAUCAUGUUGCUCCACUUGGUAGGAUUGAAAAUAAAUAACUGGAGCUAAAUUGACAUAUGCAUUAAUUAAAGUUCACAUAGAAACCAUAUUACUAAUAUUAUAUUGUACUGGUAACUCAUGAUAGCAACAAUAAACCUGGUUGGCCAAAGAUCCUAGCUUCUUCAUCAUGGUCCACAUCUCCAGUUUUUUCUCCUAGGUUCUCGUCUCCCAAGCAUUCUAUUUGUGAAUAUUGAAUAAUAUUGCGUUAGGAGUAGUAAAUGAUGCUCAUUUGAUGUUAUGCAUAAUGGGAAGAUGAAACUAAAAAUGACAUUACGCAGACCAUCAAUGUUUCUCGUGUGGACAUCGGGCUCCAGUAGUCCAUAUGCAUCUUUGGCGUGGUCGUUGGCUGAAAACAUUUAUUUGGCACAAAAGAGUAAGCAAAAGAGAUGGACCCUUUUUAUGGAGGGUGGUACCACAAAAACGUACCAAUUUGAUUAUGAGUGGUUUGACCUGCAUCUGGGGAUGGUUCCAUCCCUGGAGUAAUAUCAUUACGUUGGAUCGAUAGAGGUUUAUUGCCAUAAGAAGGAUCUGUACCUGAAUAGAAAAUAGAAUGGCAAAAUAGAGAAGAAAUAAACACCAGAUAAUUUAGCACCAUUAAUAAAUCAAACAACUAACCCUUUUUUUAGAAGACUCUUCUGGCAUAUGUAGGUUAUCGAUUGUACUGAGUUGGGGGUUCUCAUCUAGUGACAUUUGUGUGGGUGUCAGUCAUCUUGAAUUCCGUUGCAUCUGGUACGCAUCAUUUCUGUGCAACCAAUCGGACUCAUCGUCCACAUUGUCUCUGGUCAAAUGAACAGAAUUUGGUACUGCACCCCCUGCACUUGUUAUGUUCUAUAGUUGUGUGAUGACUGCAGAUUGUCCAGUAGCCGGCACUUGCGUUACAAUGUUACUGCCAUCAAGGACGGCAUCAAUAUGCUUAUUUUGCUCGCGGGUUUGUCGCUGUCGCUUUAAUGUUUCCUCUCUAUUUCGUGCAUACCGCUCCCUUUCCAUACGAUUCUCAAUAUCAUUACUGCCUGAGUAGAUGAAGAUUAGAACAUUAUAUAUAGAAAUAUAUAUAAUGGAGAAUGAAGUUCAUCUUCAUUACCUUGUGAUACACCCAGCUGUGUUUGUGCCCCACUGAUCUCAGCAGAGGCAAUUUUCUUCUAUUUGCAGGUCUCACGUCGUCUCUUAUUAAUCUCAUCCUUAUUUUGUGCAUACCGCUCUCUAUCCCUCUGCCUUUUUACUUCUUUAGGGUCUGCAAUCGAUGGCACAAUUCAGCAGUUGGGGUACAAAAACUGAAAUUGGGUGGUUGUAUAAUGUUCAUCAACCAAGGAUUGUUUGUUUCUUAUAUCCUGGAAUGGGGUGCGCGUCCUAUUGGGACUGGUCGGGGCCAUACGAAGUCCUUCAACCAUGUAAAUGUCAAGCAUGUUAUCACACAAUUGUAACUGAAGGAAUACUAUUACCUCAACUCAGACAGAGUAGUGUUUGAUGUUCAACUCCAUCCCACUGUUUAGCAUGAAAUCUUUGUUAAGAGUACUCGGCAACCAAUUGAAUUCCUUUUGCAUUAAUAUAUAUACCUGCAAUAAUGAUUCAGGAUGUA